rfam:Anaerolineae bacterium CG2_30_64_16 cg2_3.0_scaffold_12168_c, whole genome shotgun sequence.
GCCCCUGUAGCUCAGUGGAUAGAGCGGAGGACUUCUAAUCCUAAGGCCGCUGGUUCGAAUCCAGCCAGGGGUA